rnacentral:rRNA from 1 species
UACGUAGGUGACCAGCGUUGUCCGGAUUUACUGGGCGUAAAGAGCGCGCAGGCGGUCGUUCAAGUCGAGUGUGAAAGCCCCCGGCUCAACUGGGGAGGGUCACUUGAUACUGAUCGACUGGAAGGCAGGAGAGGGAAGCGGAAUUCCCGGUGUAGUGGUGAAAUGCGUAGAUAUCGGGAGGAACACCAGUGGCGAAGGCGGCUUCCUGGCCUGUUCUUGACGCUGAGGCGCGAAAGCUAGGGGAGCAAACGGG